rnacentral:rRNA from 1 species
UACGUAGGGUCCGAGCGUUGUCCGGAAUUAUUGGGCGUAAAGAGCUCGUAGGCGGUUUGUCACGUCUGCUGUGAAAGCCCGAGGCUCAACCUCGGGUCUGCAGUGGGUACGGGCAGACUUGAGUGCGGUAGGGGAGAACGGAAUUCCUGGUGUAGCGGUGGAAUGCGCAGAUAUCAGGAAGAACACCCGUGGCGAAGGCGGCUCUCUGGGCAUUACCUGACGCUGAGGAGCGAAAGUGUGGGGAGCGAACAGG